rnacentral:pre_miRNA from 1 species
CUGUUCCUUUUUCCUAUGCAUAUACCUUUUUCAUAUGUAACUUUAAAGAGGCAUAGGGCAUGGGAAAAUGGGGCUG